CGGGGUAUAGUACAGUCCGGUUAGUAUGCUUGGUUUGGGACCAAGAGGUCACAGGUUCGAAUCCUGUUACCCCGA
rnacentral:tRNA from 1 species